rnacentral:rRNA from 1 species
AGUGAACGCUGGCGGUAGGCCUAACACAUGCAAGUCGAACGGCAGCACAGUAAGAGCUUGCUCUUACGGGUGGCGAGUGGCGGACGGGUGAGGAAUACAUCGGAAUCUACUUUUUCGUGGGGGAUAACGUAGGGAAACUUACGCUAAUACCGCAUACGACCUACGGGUGAAAGCAGGGGAUCUUCGGACCUUGCGCGAUUGAAUGAGCCGAUGUCGGAUUAGCUAGUUGGCGGGGUAAAGGCCCACCAAGGCGACGAUCCGUAGCUGGUCUGAGAGGAUGAUCAGCCACACUGGAACUGAGGCACGGUCCAGACUCCUACGGGAGGCAGCAGUGGGGAAUAUUGGACAAUGGGCGCAAGCCUGAUCCAGCCAUACCGCGUGGGUGAAGAAGGCCUUCGGGUUGUAAAGCCCUUUUGUUGGGAAGGAAAAGCAGCAGGUUAAUACCCCGCUGUUCUGACGGUACCCAAAGAAUAAGCACCGGCUAACUUCGUG